GUACUUACUUCAACAACACAUAACACUAAAAUUGGAACAGUACAGAGAUUUUCAUGGCCCUUGUACAAGGAUGACAUGCAGAUUGGUGAAGCAUUCCAUAUUUCU
ensembl:snRNA U6 U6 spliceosomal RNA